rnacentral:rRNA from 1 species
AUGUCGCUGCUAACAUCUAGACAUCUAUCGCUGCAAUUUUGGGUGGAUGUUUACACAUGCAUUGAGCAAAACAGACUAAGCUGGAUCAGGAAUAAUCAAGGGAAGCUACGAACUGAACUUUACAGUGGACUGCAGGACGCGAUUGAGAGAGGGGACACCAGAACAGAGCAGGUCAGAAAGAGGAUAAUUGUACCUUCAUCUUAUACAUGA